GUUGAACGCUGGCGGCAGGCCUAACACAUGCAAGUCGGGCGAACGGAGGACGGGUGAGUAAUGUAUGGGGAUCUGGCUGAUGGAGGGGGAUAACGAGGGGAAACGGUAGAAAAUACCGCAUACCCUACGAUGAGGCCAUAUGGGAUUAGCUUGUAGGUAAGGUAACGGCUUACCUAGGCGAAGCUCCCUAGCUGGGCUGAGAGGAUGAACAGCCACACUGGGACUGAGACACGGCCCAGACUCCUACGGGAGGCAGCAGUGGGGAAUAUUGCACAAUGGGCGCAAGCCUGAUGCAGCAAUGCCGCGUGUAUGAAGAAGGCCUUCGGGUUGUAAAGUACUUUCAGUCGGGAGGCGUUACCGACAGAAGAAGCACCGGCUAACUCCGUGCCAGCAGCCGCGGUAAUUC
rnacentral:rRNA from 1 species